GGGGGAAUACUUUUCAGCUCUAGGUCGCCCACCAGUAAAAUGCGGGAAUACUUUUCAGCUCUAGGUCGCCCACCAGUAAAAUGCGGGAAUACUUUUUAGCUCUAGGUCGCCCACCAGUAAAAUGCGGGAAUACUUUUCAGCUCUAGGUCGCCCACCAGUAAAAUGCGGGAAUACUUUUCAGUUCUAGGUCGCCCACCAGUAAAAUGCGGGAAUAUUUUUCAGUUCUAGGUCGCCCACCAGUAAAUGCGGGAAUACUUUUGAGUUCUAGGUCGCCCACCAGUAAAAUGCGGGAAUACUUUUAAGUUCUAGGUCGCCCACCAGUAUAAUGCGGGAAUACAUUUAACUUCUAGGUCGCCCACCAGUAUAAUGCGGGAAUACAUUUAAGUUCUAGGUCGCCCACCAGUAUAAUGCGGGAAUACUUUUAAGUUCUAGGUCCCCCACCAGUAAAAUGCGGGAAUACAUUUAAGUUCUAGGUCGCCCACCAGUAAAAUGCGGGAAUACAUUUCAGCUCUAGAUUUUG
rnacentral:lncRNA from 1 species